CAACAGCAGAAUUGCGUUUUUUCUACAUUGGCAGAAUACUGACAAAGUGUUGCACACAUUUGUCAUGGAAACGCAGCUAGUUUU